rnacentral:lncRNA from 1 species
ACAAAAAAACGGAUUAUAUACAGAUUUUAUUAUGAUUAAUUUCAGGUCAUACGUCCAGAACCAUGGGGUCCAAUAAGACAAACGCAUUCUAUACAGGUUCAAUACCCUCCCACAGUCCGGACAGUGCCGGACGACGGGUUCUUAGAAGUGAAGAAGGGGGAGUACGUCGACAUUGGCUGUGAGACAACCGGCAGCCCCAUACCCAUCGUUACGUGGAAGAAAAAUGGCGAACAGAUGGCGCUGCUUGAACACAGGUCGCGGAUUCGAUUCCGCGCUGAGCACCGUUUACUGGCCGGAGUGUACGAGUGCACGGCGAGCAAUGGGGUGGGGGACGCCGUCACUGCGGCUAUUACUGUUGUUA